GUGAUGAUGCCCAGGCCUGAGCUGAUGCCAUGGCCCUUGUCUGGGUCCAUGGCCCUGCUGCAGCUGUGGUCUGUAUGGAUGUUUGUUGGUUCCUAUUACCACCGAAGGAGGAGGAGAGGAUAGGGCUACACAGAAUUGGCCCCAUCCCUCACUGACUGCAACACUGUGGAGAACUGGUCCUAUUCUUCACCACCUACAGCACUGGGGAGAGCAGGCCCUGCACCUCACCUGGAAGCACAGCAGAACUGACCGUGUUUGUGAUCCACCCUGCCCAGUGAAUGCAGGGUUGUUUUCUAGAAGAGUGGCCACUUUUCAAAGCUGCUGCUUGCCAACAGAUGGGUUAAGAACUGCUCUUCAUCAAAUAAAAUUCUGUGGUGGGCUCUCUGUGCCUCUUGUGAGUUCAGUUUCCAAGUUCCACAGAACCGAAACAUUUUCUUUACCACGCGUAUAAAGAAGAGCAGUGAUGAAGUUUUUCUGCAUUCUACUCUGCAAAUGUCUCCCUCUCUUUUUUGCCUUCCUGUAAACUACAAUACGCACUUCUUAUUAAACUGUGAAUUGAUUUGCAUGGAAGACAGAACUUGUGAAAGGUUUGGCAGCAAAUAAACAUUUUCUUUGCCCUUUGUGUUUCAUUUUUGUACAGUAGAAUGCAUCCCUGAAAACCUUCCAAAUUCACUAUGUUCUGAUCACACUGUCUAUUAUAAUUCUGCCCGAUGGCAAACUUCUCCGUAUUGACUCUAAAUUACAUUUAAUCCUGUUAGGAUCACUUUUUAUUGAAAGGCAUGCAUUGUGAUGGCAUUGACGGGAAUCCAGCAACCAAGAUGCCCAGCCAGAGGAAAAUAAACUCUUGGAGCUUUCUAAUGCUUGUCAUUUUCACGCUGGGCCCAGCUGUGGAGCCUCUUGAAGGAUGGAGAGGAUUGGGGUGCUCAGUGCAGAUAAUGGUAUGCUCCUGGGCGGUGUGGAAAGCUCUCUACCACAAGAAAAUAAUCUUUUGAGCCCAGUGGACUAAGAACCAAAGACCAUUUUGAGCUAAGACAGUAUAAUUCUAUUAGUGAAAGGCCCUUGCAGGAGGAAAUUGCCUGUGUUAAAAUCUGUGCACAAAUUAAAAUAACAGUGCUAAAGGGGGGAAAUAUCUCUAUAAAAGGCUUUAUGGCUCUAGUGGAUAAUAAUAUCCUGUCACAUUAGGAUCUGGGAACCUAAAGAUAUAGUUUUUUUUAAAUAUAUAUAGCAUAUUGGUAUCCUUUUCUCAACUUUAGCUUGUGCAAUAAAUCUGUUCUUGAGGGCUUAUUUGAAGAAUCCGAAUGCUGUACCAACACAUACUAUUGCUUCUUAUCAAG
rnacentral:lncRNA from 1 species